rnacentral:rRNA from 1 species
CUACGGGAUGCAGCAGUGGGGAAUCUUGCGCAAUGGACGAAAGUCUGACGCAGCGACGCCGCGUGGGUGAUGAAGGCCUUCGGGUCGUAAAGCCCUGUUCUGGGGGAAGAAACCACUUCGGUGCUGACGGUACCCCAGAAGAAAGCACAGGCUAACUCCGUGCCAGCAGCCGCGGUAAUACGGAGUGUGCUAGCGUUGUUCGGAUUUACUGGGCGUAAAGCGCAUGUAGGUGGCUUGACAAGCGGAUGUGAAAUCCCGUGGCUCAACCUCGGAACUGCAUUCGAAACUGUCUUGCUUGAGUCCGGGAGGGGAUUGCGGAAUUCCGUGUGUAGAGGUGAAAUUCGUAGAUAUACGGAGGAACACCCGUGGCGAAGGCGGCAACCUGGACCGGUACUGACGCUGAGAUGCGAAAGCGUGGGGAGCAAACAGGAUUAGAUACCCUGGUAGUC